rnacentral:rRNA from 1 species
UGGGGAAUCUUCCGCAAUGGACGAAAGUCUGACGGAGCAACGCCGCGUGAGCGAUGAAGGCCUUCGGGUCGUAAAGCUCUGUUGUUAGGGAAGAAUAAGUGCUAGUUGAAUAAGCUGGCACCUUGACGGUACCUAACCAGAAAGCCACGGCUAACUACGUGCCAGCAGCCGCGGUAAUACGUAGGUGGCAAGCGUUGUCCGGAAUUAUUGGGCGUAAAGCGCGCGCAGGCGGUUUCUUAAGUCUGAUGUGAAAGCCCCCGGCUCAACCGGGGAGGGUCAUUGGAAACUGGGAAACUUGAGUGCAGAAGAGGAAAGUGGAAUUCCAAGUGUAGCGGUGAAAUGCGUAGAGAUGUGGAGGAACACCAGUGGCGAAGGCGACUUUCUGGUCUGUAACUGACGCUGAGGCGCGAAAGCGUGGGGAGCAAACA